UUUUAAAGUUUAGUUAAACCCUAAAAAUUGCUUCUUCGUCUUUGUUUGUCUUCGCCUCUCUCGCGUCAAGUCCAGCAGCAUCUUCCAGGAUCGAUCUUCCUGUUUUUAUUUGAUUGAAAGUAUUCUUCUUCCUCAUCAUCGUUCAAGGCCGAAACAAACCCAGAAGAUUUUUUCAAAAUUAAGUGAUUGACGUUUCUAGAAGGAGUGUUUCAGUGCUACAGAACAAAGACUCAUUCUUUCAAUGGCAUUGGUUGUCAUUUGUGGGCAGCCAAGCAGUGGCAAGUCGACGGCUGCUCUCUGCCUAGCAGAGGCUCUUAAGGAAUCAGAAUCAAAACAAACCAUUAGGAUCAUUGAUGAAGCUACCUUUCAUCUCGAUCGCAAUCAAAGCUAUGCCAAUAUGCCUGCAGAGAAGAAUUUGAGAGGUGUGCUUCGGUCUGAAGUAGAUAGGUCUUUAUCGAAAGAAAAUAUUAUCAUUGUAGAUUCUUUAAAUAGCAUCAAAGGUUACAGAUAUGAGUUGUGGUGUUUGGCUCGGGCUGCUGGGAUAAGAUAUUGUGUGGUAUACUGCGAUGUGGAAGAAACUCAUUGUAGAAAAUGGAAUGAAGAACGCAUGAAUAAGGGAGAAGCUUCAUAUGAUGAUAAGAUAUUUGAAGAUUUAGCUAGAAGGUUUGAGAGACCAGAUAGAAGAAAUCGAUGGGAUUCUCCUUUGUUUGAGUUAUGGCCAUGUAAAGACGGAAUAGAGAAAUCUUCUGCUGCCUUGUUGGAUGCUGUUUCAUACUUGACUAAAAAAGUAGACUCAAAAACACAGGAUGUCAGAAUUUUACAGCCCACAAUUGCUACUCAAAGUGCUCGGUUUUCAGAGGCAAAUUCCUUGUAUGAGUUGGACAGAGCAACUCAAGAGGUGGUCAGUGCCAUCGUGGAAGCACAAUCUCUAGCAAUGGGAGGUCCUUUAAAUGGGAUUUCUCUUGGCCAGGGAUUACCAACUGUCAAUAUUUCAAAACCAGUUGUGUUGCCAGAGCUACGCAGACUACGCCGAACUUUCAUAAAAUUGACAGGACAAACGAGUUUAAGUGGACCUCCCCCUCCUACUGAUGCGGAGAGUGCAAAAAGGAUGUUUUUGGAUUACUUGAACCGGGAAUUGGGUGCUUUAUGAAAAAAGGAGACAAGACCUGAGAUUUUUGGUAUACCUUCUGUUCUUUUUGCGCAUUGUAGUAGAUGUCGGCAUGUCGCUGCUAGUGGGAUUGCUGGAUUGGCAAAGAGAGACCCUGCAGCUGUUGCUGGAGCAUUGUGUGUUGGGUGUAAUCUUAGGUCUGGUUCGAUUUCUAACAAGCUACAAGUUUCUGCAUAAAUUGUGUUGGCACUUCUGAACAAGCGAGCAGAACUGCGUCAUCUGUGGAGAAGAGAUAUAUAUCAAUUGGAUGAUAGUCAUUUUGGUUUCCUCAUUUUAUCUGAUUUACUACAAGAUGGCCGGACAAGUUCUGUGUUUCCUACUUGCAUCUUCGAGAUUUACCCCAAAGCAUGGUAGGUACAGAGUCGGGGAAACAACUACAAGUUUCCUAAGAGUUUUCUGAGCAAUGCAUUUUCUUUUUCCUUUCUCCUGACUUCUAUAUAUUGUUUAGCAUUUUGCUUUGGCGUUUAGCUUGUAUGAAAGUUAAUUCUCUACCUACUUGUAGUAUGUCGUAAAAUUAAUCACUUUGAAAGUAUAAAUUGACGGAAUGGUGCAUUUUAAUGGGGAUUGCAAUCCUGGUGCCAAAGUACCCGGAGAAGCCUCUGGCGACGGGGCGUUGGAUGAAGCGUACUCCAUUAUGAGAUUUGCGCCGGUUAAGAAGGCUGCCAACUCACCAAAAGUGAUGCGGAUGUAGCUAAAGGCGGAGAGAAGAGCGCAGAGGCCUGUAAUGGCAGAGAUCACAAUCACGGGAGCUAACAGUAACUAAUGAGCUUUUGAAGAAAACUGCCGGAGAUCGUCAAGUUAUGUCCCUUGAAUUGAAUACUGCUGUGCUGAGGAACAUGCUAACCUGCAGAAGGAAUAGGUAGAUUGGGUGCGGGCCGAUAUAUCCAGUAGGGGCAAAAAGCGGUGCGACCACAGAGGGAGUCGAACCCUCGACCUUUUGAUCCGAAGUCAAACGCGCUAAUCCACUGCGCUAUGCGGUCACGUUGAUGAAAGCCCUAAGCUGAUAAAGAAGAUACGUAUUCUCUAAUAAUUAAUCAAUUAAAUUCCACCAGAAUUAGUCUGUCCGGACUCCUUUCAUGUGCUC